GACGAACGCUGGCGGCGUGCUUAACACAUGCAAGUCGAACGGAAAGGCCUGCUUUCCCUUGUGGAUUGCGGGUACUCGAGUGGCGAACGGGUGAGUAACACGUGAGUGAUCUGCCCCCAACUUGGGUAUAAGCCUGGGAAACUGGGUCUAAUUCCCGAUAGGACUGCAGGGUGGUGCCUGUGGUGGAAAACGAUUUUCUAGUGGUUGGGGAUGAGCUCGCGGCCUAUCAGCUUGUUGGUGGGGUAAUGGCCUACCAAGGCGGCGACGGGUAGCCGGCCUGGGAGGGUGGACGGCCACAGUGGGACUGAGAUACGGCCCAGACUCCUACGGGAGGCAGCAGUGGGGAAUAUGGCACAAUGGGCGGAAGCCUGAUGCAGCGACGCCGCGUGGGGGAUGACGGCCUUCGGGUUGUAAACUCCUUUCGACCGCGAGGAAGCCACCUGGUUGGAAGGGUGGUGACGGUAGUGGUAGAAGAAGCACCGGCUAACUACGUG
rnacentral:rRNA from 1 species